rnacentral:rRNA from 1 species
CCUACGGGUGGCUGCAGUGAGGAAUAUUGGUCAAUGGACGCAAGUCUGAACCAGCCAUGCCGCGUGCAGGAAGACGGCUCUAUGAGUUGUAAACUGCUUUUGUACGAGGGUAAACGCAGAUACGCGUAUCUGUCUGAAAGUAUCGUACGAAUAAGGAUCGGCUAACUCCGUGCCAGCAGCCGCGGUAAUACGGAGGAUUCGAGCGUUAUCCGGAUUUAUUGGGUUUAAAGGGUGCGUAGGCGGUGUGAUAAGUUAGAGGUGAAAUCCCGGGGCUCAACUCCGAAAUUGCCUCUGAUACUGUUGGGCUAGAGAAUAGUUGCGGUAGGCGGAAUGUAUGGUGUAGCGGUGAAAUGCUUAGAGAUCAUACAGAACACCGAUUGCGAAGGCAGCUUACCAAGCUAUAUCUGACGUUGAGGCACGAAAGCGUGGGUAGCAAACAGGAUUAGAUACCCGGGUAGUC